rnacentral:rRNA from 1 species
UAUUGGACAAUGGGCGAAAGCCUGAUCCAGCAAUGCCGCGUGAGUGAUGAAGGCCUUAGGGUUGUAAAGCUCUUUCAGUGGGGAAGAUAAUGACGGUACCCACAGAAGAAGCACCGGCUAACUCCGUGCCAGCAGCCGCGGUAAUACGGAGGGUGCUAGCGUUGUUCGGAAUGACUGGGCGUAAAGCGCGCGUAGGUGGAUUGGUAAGUUGGAAGUGAAAGCCCGAGGCUUAACCUCGGAAUUGCUUUCAAAACUGCCUUUCUGGAGUAUGGUAGGGGAUAGUGGAAUUCCUAGUGUAGAGGUGAAAUUCGUAGAUAUUAGGAGGAACGCCGGAGGCGAAAGCGACUAUCUGGGCCAUUACUGACACUGAGGCGCGAAAGCGUGGGGAGCAAAC